CAUGCUCCACACAGUUUGUGUGUGUGUGUGUGUGUGUGUGUGUGUGUGUAUAUAUGUAUACACACACACACACACACAGGCAUGUAUACACACA
rnacentral:miRNA from 1 species